rnacentral:rRNA from 1 species
GAAUUCACUAGUGAUUACGGGGUGCAGCAGGCGCGAAAACUGCACAAUGCUGGAAACAGCGAUGCGGGUAUUCCAAGUGCCAGCACUAAGUGUUGGCUGUUCCAUUGUCUAAAAAACAUAGGAAGUAAGGGCUGGGUAAGACGGGUGCCAGCCGCCGCGGUAAUACCUGCAGCCCGAGUGGUGGCCGUUAUUAUUGGGCCUAAAACGUCCGUAGCCGGCUGAGUAGAUGCCUGUGUAAAUCGAACGGCUUAACCGUUCGAACUGCGGGUAGACCGCUCAGCUUGGGAUCGGGAGAGUCACGAAGUACUCCGGGGGUAGAGGUGAAAUUCUGUAAUCCUCGGGGGACUACCGGUGGCGAAGGCGUCGUGAUAGAACGGCUCCGACGGUGAGGGACGAAGCCCUGGGGCGCAAACCGGAUUAGAUACCCGGGUAGUCCAGGGUGUAACGCUGCGGUCUUGGUGUCGGGAGUCCUACGCGGGCACCCGGUACCGGAGAGAAGUUGUUAAGACCGUUGCCUGGGGAGUACGGCCGCAAGGUUGAAACUUAAAGGAAUUGGCGGGGGAGCACAGGAAUUGGCGGGGGAGCACAA